rnacentral:rRNA from 1 species
UAGGGAAUCUUCGGCAAUGGGGGCAACCCUGACCGAGCAACGCCGCGUGAGUGAAGAAGGUUUUCGUAUCGUAAAGCUCUGUUGUAAGAGAAGAACGUGUGUGAGAGUGGAAAGUUCACACAGUGACGGUAACUUACCAGAAAGGGACGGCUAACUACGUGCCAGCAGCCGCGGUAAUACGUAGGUCCCGAGCGUUGUCCGGAUUUAUUGGGCGUAAAGCGAGCGCAGGCGGUUUAAUAAGUCUGAAGUUAAAGGCAGUGGCUUAACCAUUGUUCGCUUUGGAAACUGUUAAACUUGAGUGCAGAAGGGGAGAGUGGAAUUCCAUGUGUAGCGGUGAAAUGCGUAGAUAUAUGGAGGAACACCGGUGGCGAAAGCGGCUCUCUGGUCUGUAACUGACGCUGAGGCUCGAAAGCGUGGGGAGCAAACAGG